rnacentral:lncRNA from 1 species
GAAAUGAAACUGGUGGUAAAAGUUGGGGUGGUAAUAGUACUAACAAUGAAAGCAAUACAACAGGAGGUGGUUGGGGAGUCACGGCUGGAUCUGGAAAUGAAACUGGUGGUAAAAGUUGGGGUGGAAAUAGUACUAACAAAGAAAGCAAUACAACAGAAGGUGGUUGGGGAGUCACAACUGGAUCUGGAAAUGAAACAGUUGGGGAGUCACGGCUGGAUCUGGAAAUGAAACUGGUGGUAAAAGUUGGGGUGGAAAUAGUACUAACAAAGAAAGCAAUACAACAGAAGGUGGUUGGGGAGUCACAACUGGAUCUGGAAAUGAAACAGGUGGUAAAAGUUGGGGAGAAAAUAGUACUAACAAAGAGAGCAAUGCAGCAGUAGGUGGUUGGGGAGUCACGGCUGGAUCUGGAAAUGAAACUGGUGGUAAAAGUUGGGGUGGUAAUAGUACUAACAAUGAAAGCAAUACAACAGGAGGUGGUUGGGGAGUCAUGGCUGGAUCUGGAAAUGAAACUGGUGGUAAAAGUUGGGGUGGUACUAGUACUAACAAUGAAAGCAAUACAACAGGAGGUGGUUGGGGAGUCACGGCUGCAUCUGGAAAU